rnacentral:rRNA from 1 species
UACGGAGGGUGCAAACGUUGCUCGGAAUCAUUGGGCGUAAAGCGCACGUAGGCGGCGCAGCAAGUCGGAUGUGAAAUCCCUCGGCUUAACCGAGGAAGUGCAUUCGAAACUACUGGGCUUGAAUACUGAAGAGGAUCGCGGAAUUCCCGGUGUAGAGGUGAAAUUCGUAGAUAUCGGGAGGAACACCAGUGGCGAAGGCGGCGAUCUGGGCAGAUAUUGACGCUGAUGUGCGAAAGCGUGGGGAGCAAACAGG